rnacentral:rRNA from 1 species
UACGGGGGGAGCAAGCGUUGUUCGGAUUUACUGGGCGUAAAGGGCGCGUAGGCGGCGCAACAAGUCACUUGUGAAAUCUCCGGGCUUAACCCGGAGCGGCCAAGUGAUACUGUCGUGCUAGAGUGCGGAAGGGGCUACUGGAAUUCUCGGUGUAGCGGUGAAAUGCGUAGAUAUCGAGGGGAACACCUGCGGCGAAGGCAGGUAGCUGGGCCGACACUGACGCUGAGGCGCGAAAGCCAGGGGAGCGAACGGG